UCGAGCGAACAGAUAAGGAGCUUGCUCCUUUGACGUUAGCGGCGGACGGGUGAGUAACACGUGGGUAACCUACCUAUAAGACUGGAAUAACUCCGGGAAACCGGGGCUAAUGCCGGAUAACAUUUAGAACCGCAUGGUUCUAGAGUAAAAGAUGGUUUUGCUAUCACUUAUAGAUGGACCCGCGCCGUAUUAGCUAGUUGGUAAGGUAACGGCUUACCAAGGCAACGAUACGUAGCCGACCUGAGAGGGUGAUCGGCCACACUGGAACUGAGACACGGUCCAGACUCCUACGGGAGGCAGCAGUAGGGAAUCUUCCGCAAUGGGCGAAAGCCUGACGGAGCAACGCCGCGUGAGUGAUGAAGGUCUUCGGAUCGUAAAACUCUGUUAUUAGGGAAGAACAAAUGUGUAAGUAACUGUGCACGUCUUGACGGUACCUAAUCAGAAAGCCACGGCUAACUAC
rnacentral:rRNA from 1 species